rnacentral:rRNA from 1 species
UACAGAGGUCUCAAGCGUUGUUCGGAUUCAUUGGGCGUAAAGGGUGCGUAGGCGGCGCGGUAAGUCGGGUGUGAAAUCUCGGAGCUUAACUCCGAAACUGCAUUCGAUACUGCCGUGCUUGAGGACUGGAGAGGAGACUGGAAUUUACGGUGUAGCGGUGAAAUGCGUAGAUAUCGUAAGGAAGACCAGUGGCGAAGGCGGGGUCUCUGGACAGUUCCUGACGCUGAGGCACGAAGGCCCAGGGGGAGCAAACGGGG